UUGGAGGGCAAGUCUGGUGCCAGCAGCCGCGGUAAUUCCAGCUCCAAUAGCGUAUAUUAAAGUUGUUGCAGUUAAAAAGCUCGUAGUUGAACUUCGGGGUUUACCCAUUGGUCAGGCUUAAUUGUCUGUACUGGUGAGAUGAAUCUCUACCUUCUGAGGAACUUUCAUGCCAUUUAUUUGGUGUGAUGGGAAAUCAGGACUGUUACUUUGAAAAAAUUAGAGUGUUUAAAGCAGGCUAACGUCUGAAUACAUUAGCAUGGAAUAAUAAAAUAGGACGGUGGUCCUGUUUUGUUGGUUUCUGAAUCACCGUAAUGAUUAAUAGGGAUAGUUGGGGGCAUUAGUAUUCAAUUGUCAGAGGUGAAAUUCUUGGAUUUAUUGAAGACUAACUUCUGCGAAAGCAUUUGCCAAGGAUGUUUUCAUUAAUCAAGAACGAAAGUUAGGGGAUCGAAGACGAUCAGAUACCGUCGUAGUCUUAACCAUAAACUAUGCCGACUAGGGAUCGGACGAUGUUAAAUUUUAUUGACUCGUUCGGCGCCUUACGGGAAAC
rnacentral:rRNA from 2 species